UACGGAGGGUGCGAGCGUUAUCCGGAUUCACUGGGUUUAAAGGGUGCGUAGGUGGGCAGGUAAGUCAGUGGUGAAAUCUCCGGGCUUAACCCGGAAACUGCCAUUGAUACCAUCAGUCUUGAAUACCGUGGAGGUAAGCGGAAUAUGUCAUGUAGCGGUGAAAUGCUUAGAUAUGACAUAGAACACCGAUAGCGAAGGCAGCUUGCUACACGAUCAUUGACACUGAGGCACGAAAGCGUGGGGAUCAAACAGG
rnacentral:rRNA from 1 species